AGACUCUGUGGGGGCGAGCUGGCUGCGGCAUCUGUCACCCCAUUGAUUACCAGGGUUGAUUCCACUGCUGUGGCCAGCUCAGCGCUGUUCCCUUCCCGCCUCACCGUUCCACGUGCCUCCUUCCCCAAAUUGUGUGCUCAGCCAAAGAAAAUGACCUUCCCAAACAGAGAAGGACCAUUCUCCAGUCUGGGGUGUCCGAGCAGCCACACUCCCCUGCCAGAAUCUCCAAAGAAGCUCUCCAUGGUGCAACUGAAAUCAGACCUCUGUUGCCUUUUGGGGUUUAAUACAAUUCCAUCGUAUGGAUCACAUCACAUUUUGUGUAACCACUAAUCCGUGGCAGAAAUG
rnacentral:snRNA from 1 species